ACGGAAGGCAGCAGUAAGGAAUCUUGCACAAUGGGGGAAACCCUGAUGCAGCACCGCCGCGUGAACGAUGAAGGCCUUAGGGCUGUAAAGUUCUGAUCUGGGGGAAGAAGAAAGUGACGGUACCCCAGGAGAAAGCCCCGGCUAACUACGUGCCAGCAGCCGCGGUAAUACGUAUGGGGCAAGCGUUAUCCGGAAUUAUUGGGCGUAAAGAGUGCGUAGGUGGUUACCUAAGCGCAAGGUUUAAUCUUGAGGCUCAACCUCAUUCUGCCUUGCGAACUGGGCUACUUGAGUGCUGGAGGGGAAAGCGGAAUUCCCAGUGUAGCGGUGAAAUGCGUAGAUAUUGGGAAGAACACCGGUGGCGAAGGCGGCUUUCUGGACAGUAACUGACACUGAGGCACGAAAGCGUGGGGAGCAAACAGGAUUAGAUACCCUGGUA
rnacentral:rRNA from 1 species